GGGACAUUUUCUGUUACAUUUCUCCCCUCUUUUGGUUUUUUGGUAAAUCUUUGCUGAGCACAUUAUAUGUGAUCUUCUGAGGUAAAUCAGCACCCAUUGUGGAACCAUCAGACAGCUGCUCCUUGCUUCCCCGAGGAAGAGCUGCUCUUCCAGCUAAACUCACUCAGGAUCCUGACCCCAGCUUCUGCUCUCCAUCCCGAGGCGGGGGCAGACAAGGACCGAGGGGCUGGGACACUGUGGGGGUCACACAGGUGCUGCUUUUCCCCACGAGGUGAGCUGUGCCCUCUCUUUCCGCCUGAGUUGGCUGGCAGCGAGGACAAAGGAUGUCAAUGUCCCCGACCUCAGUGGACGGAAUCUUGAAGCCAGCUUCCCCUGUUCUCUGAGAUGCCACAAAAUAGCCAGCACACAAAGUUUCUAAUAAAACAAUAUAAGAUAUGAGGUCAAGAAC
rnacentral:lncRNA from 1 species